rnacentral:rRNA from 1 species
CUGGCGGCGUGCUUAACACAUGCAAGUCGAACGAACCUUCGGGUUAGUGGCGGACGGGUGAGUAACGCGUGGGAACCUGCCCUCAGGAGGGGGAUAACGGCUGGAAACGGCCGCUAAUACCCCAUAUGCCGAGAGGUGAAACGAAAUUCGCCUGAGGAUGGGCCCGCGUCUGAUUAGCUAGUUGGUGGGGUAAGAGCCUACCAAGGCGACGAUCAGUAGCUGGUCUGAGAGGAUGAUCAGCCACACUGGGACUGAGACACGGCCCAGACUCCUACGGGAGGCAGCAGUGGGGAAUUUUCCGCAAUGGGCGAAAGCCUGACGGAGCAACGCCGCGUGAGGGAUGAAGGCCUCUGGGCUGUAAACCUCUUUUCUCAAGGAAGAAGAACUGACGGUACUUGAGGAAUAAGCCACGGCUAAUUCCGUGCCAGCAGCCGCGGUAAUACGGGAGUGGCAAGCGUUAUCCGGAAUUAUUGGGCGUAAAGCGUCCGCAGGCGGCCUUGUAAGUCUGUCGUUAAAGCGUGGAGCUUAACUCCAUUUCAGCGAUGGAAAC